rnacentral:rRNA from 1 species
AAUGGGCGGAAGCCUGAUCCAGCAACGCCGCGUGAGGGAUGACUGCCUUCGGGUUGUAAACCUCUUUCAGUACCGACGAAGCGAAAGUGACGGUAGGUACAGAAGAAGCACCGGCCAACUACGUGCCAGCAGCCGCGGUAAUACGUAGGGUGCGAGCGUUGUCCGGAAUUAUUGGGCGUAAAGGGCUCGUAGGCGGUUUGUCGCGUCGGGAGUGAAAACCUCAUGCUUAACAUGUGGCUUGCUUUCGAUACGGGCAGACUAGAGGUAUGCAGGGGAGAACGGAAUUCCUGGUGUAGCGGUGAAAUGCGCAGAUAUCAGGAGGAACACCGGUGGCGAAGGCGGUUCUCUGGGCAUUACCUGACGCUGAGGAGCGAAAGUGUGGGGAGCGAA